GGUCUCGUGGCCAAAUGGCAAGGCGUCUGACUACGAUUACUUCUCGAUGUUAUCAGAAGAUUGCAGGUUCGAUCCCUGCCGAGAUCG